AGUGAACGCUGGCGGUAGGCCUAACACAUGCAAGUCGAACGGCAGCACAGUAAGAGCUUGCUCUUACGGGUGGCGAGUGGCGGACGGGUGAGGAAUACAUCGGAAUCUACUUUUUCGUGGGGGAUAACGUAGGGAAACUUACGCUAAUACCGCAUACGACCUACGGGUGAAAGCAGGGGAUCUUCGGAUCUUGCGCGAUUGAAUGAGCCGAUGUCGGAUUAGCUAGUUGGCGGGGUAAAGGCCCACCAAGGCGACGAUCCGUAGCUGGUCUGAGAGGAUGAUCAGCCACACUGGAACUGAGACACGGUCCAGACUCCUACGGGAGGCAGCAGUGGGGAAUAUUGGACAAUGGGCGCAAGCCUGAUCCAGCCAUACCGCGUGGGUGAAGAAGGCCUUCGGGUUGUAAAGCCCUUUUGUUGGGAAAGAAAAGCAGCAGGUUAAUACCCCGCUGUUCUGACGGUACCCGAAGAAUAAGCACCGGCUAACUUCGUG
rnacentral:rRNA from 1 species